rnacentral:rRNA from 1 species
UGAGGAAUAUUGGUCAAUGGUCGGGAGACUGAACCAGCCAAGCCGCGUGAGGGAUGAAGGUGCUAAGCAUUGUAAACCUCUUUUGUCAGGGAACAAAGGCAUCCACGAGUGGGUGUGUGAGUGUACCUGAAGAAAAAGCAUCGGCUAACUCCGUGCCAGCAGCCGCGGUAAUACGGAGGAUGCGAGCGUUAUCCGGAUUUAUUGGGUUUAAAGGGUGCGUAGGCGGCCUGUUAAGUCAGCGGUAAAAGCCCGGGGCUCAACCCGGCGAGCGUUGAAACUGGCUGGCUGGAGUUGGCGAGAGGUAUGCGGAAUGCGCGGUGUAGCGGUGAAAUGCUUAGAUAUCGCGCAGAACUCCGAUUGCGAAGGCAGCAUGCCGGCGCCAUACUGACGCUGAGGCACGAAAGCGUGGGGAUCAAACAGGAUUAGAUACC